rnacentral:sRNA from 1 species
GGUUAAGAACUAUACAUCACUCUCUUUGCCGGUUAGUGGAAGAGCGGGGGAGAGAGGGUGCACCACGUUGUUUUUGUUAUUAGCGCACACCUGCGUGCGCACUCACACACAUACACACACACACGAAGUAUUGAUGGAGAUGUAAAUUAUUAGGCAACUCAGGUUAAACAGCACUUCCUACCAGAUUACGAUGCGUUCGAAACAGGCAGAUAAGAAUUUCGAUCCAUCCAAGAAAGGCCUUGACAGUCCUACCCCAAAACAGAGAUGCCCUCGUGAUGUCACAAGCAACCCAACAAUCUGCUCGUUCUUAUCAUAUAGAAAUUUGUAAUUUCCCUAAAAUGAUUUCAUUGGAUUUGUUGGGUCUUAAAAAAAAACCCGAACUAUAAGUACCACAAAUUAAGAGAAAACUCGUUAUUAUUUAACUUUAUUAAUUAUGUAUGUAUUUCUUUAUCAAAAGAGCAGACUUUUUGUUGUGACUGUCUUCAACAUUAGAUCUGUCUUUAACAUUAGAUCAGAUCACCGUACACGGGAAACUCUCGUAGACUUUAUACAAUUCAAAAA